AGGGAAUCAGUUUGGAUAUCUCUGUUACUCUGUAGCCUAUCUCCAAUUUCUGUGGGUUUUAAAUCUUGGUUGAACUCAUACAAUCUCAAUGAAAUUGGCCCUUUGGAGGGGAUUCAGUUUGGAUAGCUCUGUUACUCUGUAGCCUGUGUUUGCAAUUUUCUAUGGGUUUUUCAAUCUUGGUUGAACUCAGUACAACAUCGCAGUAUACACAUGAUAUGGCAAUACGUGAAAAGAGAUGAAAGAUUGAAAGAAACCCAAAAACAGUAACCAUUGUAAAAAAUUAGGAAGGUUCUCAUCAUUGAGAGUGGAUGAGAUUGACAAUGACCUACAUAUGAUGGAAACUGGAAAUUUCUAAGCCAAAAGAGAAAACCGGUUUUCCAAAUGGUUAAAUUAGUUCGAUUUUAGUCAAAUUCAUCUGCAUAUGUCAAUUUGGUUUUGCACGACUUGGGAAAGUUGAAGACUUUUCCUGGUUUACUUGCUUCCCUUAACCAUUAGGAAUUAGUCUUGGACUUUCCCAUUGGGAAUUGAACUGUCCAUAAUGUUUUUACAGAAAACACAAGACUGGACUAUCAAUAUGUUCUUCAACUAUGAAAGGCACAAUUUCGUAGUACAAUUAAAUUUUUGCAUAUGAUUUGGAAUUUCGGUUUUUCAGAUAUAUGAUAGCUUUAGAGAACUGAGAAGAAACAUCUGGUUUUUUUAGUUUCUCACCAUGGUUACUUGAAUACCUAUUAAAACUGCAAAUAGUUCCUGCUUUAUUUGGUCGAAUCAAAUUUAUGCUUCACAUUUCCCCCAUUUUCUUGGUUCUGUGUACAUCUCCCAGUUUCAAAAUUCUGGCCAAAAUCUAUAAUCUUUAACACUUUUAAGGACCUCCAUUCCUUUGAUUCUUUCUUUCUUUCUCAUGUUCCUUACUGUGUACUAUUCUUUAGGUAAUUACCUUGUGAAACAAUGCAUGCCAAGUUGUCUACUAAAGUUUACCCCUUUGAGCAAUUUCACAAAGAGAAGACAAGCUGCCAUUGUGUAUACACAUAUAUGUAUCUCCUUUAUAUUCCACUAAUAACAGAAAAAUGAUAGAAAAAAAUAGUCAUGUUCAGUAUUUAUGGUGUACUGAUGAAAUUUCUGUCUGUCAUUGUUUGAUGACAGACUAACAGAUUGAAAAAUUAAAAGUGGUGCAAUCUAAGCUCUACUUGAGGAGAAAUGGGUUCAGACUGACUGGCAAUAUGGACAAGCUCAUUCAACAGAUUAAGGAGCAUUUAGAUUCUAGGGAUUUUGAAUGGUGGAGGUGAGAGGUGAGAAAAAAGAGAGGAGAAAGUUGAUACAAGCAAGAAAGAAACUCCCCUAAUUGACAAGAAAGUUGACAAGGAGCUACUGCAGGUUCUUCGCCAGGAAUCAAGUCGGCCACAUUAGGGUUGAAGAUAUGAGAUUGAUAAUCCAAAACUUGGGAAAUUUUCUCUCACACAAGGAUGUCAAGGUAACAAACAACCAUUGUAUUCAAUCUCCAAGCUAGUCAGCCUCAUACACCGAGAUGAUGCUACCAGACACUACCUUGGAUGGCCAUAUAAGCCUUUCCACUUGCCAGAGAAUGUUAAAAGUCACCAGUGUCACCAUACUGCAGAAGUUUCAGCUCUUGAAGCUGAAUGGAAUGCCAAGUUUGCUGAAUAUGAGAAGAGGUAUGCAGAGGAAGCUUUAGAGCUGAAGUCCAUCAUCACUGGUGAGCUACCCGCUGGUUGGGAAAAGGCACUCCUGACUUACACUCUAGGAGUCCUAGCUGUCCGUGAUUGAGCUUAAAGGAUUAGACCAAUUGACGUGGAAUUGGCAAGAUUUUAGUACUUUUGCCGGGAUUUUCUUUUUUGAAUCGUCUCCCACAAUGUCUUGACCAUCAGCCUAAGCCCUUACUCUAUACUAAAACCCAAAGGGGAAAUCACUAUUCAUUCCGCAAGAGGACAAACAAAAAGAAUAGUGCACUGACCCUUCUACCCUUCUUGCCUACUUUUACGGAUAUAUCCCUCCAGCUGUUCAAUUCCUGUGACACCGACUGGUCAGCGGUGUGGCACUGCGUCUUUGCUCCACAGAAGACAGUGUGUGAGAGAGAGUGAGAGUGAGGGGAAACUUCUUUCAUAUUGCAAGAUCAGCAAGAUCCAAUAAACUGGUUGAUGUGAUUCCUCUACUAAUUAUAGCAAGCUUCAGAGUAACUGUUGUUAUAGAAGACGCGUCUGAUGAGGGCACUGUUAUUAUAAUGAGAAAACAAGAGCUUUUUGGAACUGCAUGCAGGGAUCUCAUCCUGAAGAAAAACUAUAAAGAUCCAUAAAUACUGCCACCAGAAAUCUUGCAAACAAGGGCAGAUUAAACUGCUGAACCUUAAACCAGGGACUGCACAAAACUUCAUCGUGAAAGGGGUAUUCCAUGACACUCAGCCGUUCCCUCCACCAGAGGAAAGUGGUCCUUCAAGUUCAACACCAGACCAAGUUUCAACAAUGAAAAAAAGGAACUUCCACUCAGUGAGGAAGCAGCUGUUCACGUCAGUGCCUAACAAAAGUACAAAUAGUGACAGCCCCUCAGAUGAGAACGACGCAACAGACAUGACGGAAUCAACUGAAGACACAUCAAGAGGAGUUGAUGCAAAUAGUUGGUUCUAACUACAAACAUAACACUUGCUAGGCCUAACCAUUUUUUAAAAUAUGUACAUAAAAACCUACUUUGGUUUGCAUAUCUGGUUAACAUAUCAGAUUUUGGAACCUGAAGAGGAUAUUUUAGUUAUUUAUUUAAUGUUUCGGACGUUUGAAAUUGAUAUAGUUAGACACUUAACACCUGCAGCAUCGCGUAGGGGUUGAUACCUAGUUUACCAUAAUACUUGACUUAGUUCAGUACUAUGACCAGUUGGUUGAGAUACGGAUAUCAGAUUUUGAAAAAUGUAAAACCAUUUGUAGA